CAUCGCACCCUGCCCACCUGAGCUCACACACACAUACAUGGAGCUAGCGAAGACGAGAAUGAAAGCAAGCCCAGUCCUCACGAUGCUGUUCGCGGCGGCGGUCGGGUUCUUCGUCGGCGUUUCCUUUCCGGUGGACAUCACGCCAAAGCUUCAAUGUGGCCUCCUGCCUUGGAGCCGGCGGCGGUGCCGCCAACUGCAGCUUCAGACACAGCAGCAGGCUGGGCAGGUUAUGGGGGGCGCCGUUCAGGAACAGCAGCACUGGUGCCCCAAAUGCCACCGGUUCAGCGCCGUGGUUUGUAGGUUGUAGAGGUUGCAGCAGCAAAGCCUGGAGGCUCAGAGAGGCGUCUGCCACCGGGGAUCAUGGUCUCGGAGUCUGAUCUUCACCUGCGCCGGCUAUGGGGAUCCCCAAGAGAGGACAGCCCAACUGGCAAGUACCUCCUCGCGCUCACGGUAGGGUACGGCGAGAGAGAAAAUGUCAAUGCAACUGCUCACAAG